rnacentral:rRNA from 1 species
UGGGGAAUUUUGGACAAUUGGGCGAAAGCCUGAUCCAGCAAUGCCGCGUGUGUGAAGAAGGCCUUCGGGUUGUAAAGCACUUUUGUCCGGAAAGAAAUCCUUGGCUCUAAUACAGUCGGGGGAUGACGGUACCGGAAGAAUAAGCACCGGCUAACUACGUGCCAGCAGCCGCGGUAAUACGUAGGGUGCAAGCGUUAAUCGGAAUUACUGGGCGUAAAGCGUGCGCAGGCGGUUUGCUAAGACCGAUGUGAAAUCCCCGGGCUCAACCUGGGAACUGCAUUGGUGACUGGCAGGCUAGAGUAUGGCAGAGGGGGGUAGAAUUCCACGUGUAGCAGUGAAAUGCGUAGAGAUGUGGAGGAAUACCGAUGGCGAAGGCAGCCCCCUGGGCCAAUACUGACGCUCAUGCACGAAAGCGUGGGGAGCAAACAGGAUUAGAUACCCUGGUAGUCCACGCCCUAAACGAUGUCAACUAGUUGUUGGGGAUUCAUUUCCUUAGUAACGUAGCUAACGCGUGAAGUUGACCGCCUGGGGAGUACGGUCGCAAGAUUAAAACUUAAAGGAAUUGACGGGGUCAUAGCUGUUUCCU